rnacentral:rRNA from 1 species
AGUGAACGCUGGCGGUAGGCCUAACACAUGCAAGUCGAACGGCAGCACAGGAGAGCUUGCUCUCUGGGUGGCGAGUGGCGGACGGGUGAGGAAUACAUCGGAAUCUACUCUGUCGUGGGGGAUAACGUAGGGAAACUUACGCUAAUACCGCAUACGACCUACGGGUGAAAGCAGGGGACCUUCGGGCCUUGCGCGAUUGAAUGCGCCGAUGUCGGAUUAGCUAGUUGGCGGGGUAAAGGCCCACCAAGGCGACGAUCCGUAGCUGGUCUGAGAGGAUGAUCAGCCACACUGGAACUGAGACACGGUCCAGACUCCUACGGGAGGCAGCAGUGGGGAAUAUUGGACAAUGGGCGCAAGCCUGAUCCAGCCAUACCGCGUGGGUGAAGAAGGCCUUCGGGUUGUAAAGCCCUUUUGUUGGGAAAGAAAUCCAGCUGGCUAAUACCCGGUUGGGAUGACGGUACCCAAAGAAUAAGCACCGGCUAACUUCGUGCCAGCAGCCGCCGUAA